UUUGCAUCCAGGUUCAUCAGGGAUACUAGCCUUUAAUUCUCCUUUUUAGUGGGGUCUUUGUCUGGUUUUGGAAUCAAAGUAAUGCUGGCUUCGUAGGAGGAGUUUGGAAGCUUUUGUUCCAUUUCUAUUCUUUUGGGACAGUUUGAGAAGAAUAGGUAUUAACUCUUCUUUAAAUGUCUGGUGGAGGAGCACCUGGGUGGCUCAGUCGGUUAAGUGU